ensembl:lncRNA
GAGGAAAGUGAAGCUGCUGUGAGCUGAUGUCCUGAAGGGCUUUUAAAGAGUCUCUGAGUUUGACAGGAACAUGAAGAUGUUUGUGGUGUUUGUGAUCCUCCUGCACGCUGACUACAGCUCACGUGACCAUCCACCAUGUUUCCUCCAACCUGUGAUCAGACUGGUGCUCCACCUGGUGCUGCAAUAAUGCCAAAUAAUUAGCAACUCUAUAAAUAGAAGGUAGUUCUGCAAAAUCACUCAUUAGGAUGUUUGUUCUAAUUUGCUAUGAGCUCAGAGCGCAUAGAAAAUAAAACUAAUAGGCUAUAAAGAGUGAUAUGAACAUAGUUAGAACUUACCGGAAUGAAAAUGUCUGGAGCACCAACAGAUAUUUGGAGAUGGAAGAGAACUGCACGUCAGCUCGUCUCACAGCUGCUAUCCAGGCUAGGCGCCUC